GCCACGUUCCCGGAGCCCAGCCUGCGGUGGCCGCCUGCGCCGGGCCGGGGCCGAACCCGGAGCCGAGAGGAACCGAUCUCCCGGAACAAAGUUGCCGGCCCUGCGCCAGUGGGGCUGGAGAGCCGAGGGGGAGGGGAGCGGCUGGCCGGACCUGCUCGGCCCCCUCCUCCUCGGGAGAGCGAACCCCGAGUGCCCGGACAAGAGCCAGUUCCCAGGAGGGCGGCCACGCGCACCCCGGCGGUCCUGUGCCCUCCCCUGCCUCCUGGGCCUCCGGCGCUCCUCUCCCUUCGCCAACAAAGGGGCAGGCCCGCGGGGGUGGGGGGGGGGAGGAGGCGGAGCCGGAGGAGCGAGCCGCUCGCGCACAAAGUUGUGGAGUCGCCUUUCCUCGGAGGAGGGGAGCGGGCAGCCGCAGCCUGCAGCGGGCUUUCUCCCGCCGAGGGGCGAGGAGGAGCCUCCGGCUCCCAAAGCCGAUUGGGGAAUCUCGGGGAGCGGUGCCUCCCUCCUUGCGGGUCAUUUCAGCAGACGGAAAACUCUCUAGUGUUUGGCAAACUUGGUGCCUGCGCGCCCGUUCCAGGUUUGCACUUGGACUGUUUUGUUUUUGUUUUUGGCGGAACUACGGGGCAGGAAGAUUGCACAAGUUAGGGGCGUUUUCAGUCGGGUGUCAAAAAAAAAUUUUUUUUCUUUCGGAUCUUGUCUGGUUUUCCAUAGUUCCUUUUAAAAAAACACCGCAUCACAGAGCUCACGUUUGCACACACCCCCGCGAUUACUACGCCUCAAACACAGCAGAGGAGCCCUCGGCCCGCUCGGGACGCGGCGGCGGCGGGCAGGCGAGGCGGGCCCGCGGGUCACGGGAGCAGGUAUUGAUGUUGAUCAUUAUAGAAAACUGAAAGUCUUAAAAAGAGGACCUUGUAAAGUCUUUGGAUUAUAUUGAAACUCAGCUAAGAUGGCCAAGUAUGGAGAACACGAGGCCAGGGCUGACGAUGGGCAGAACGAGUUCAGUGACAUCAUUAAGUCCAGAUCUGGUAAGUAAUGGAAGCUUAAGAAAAUGAAUGAUUUUUAUGCAUAAACUACUUAGAAGACACAGGUUUUUAUUGGCUUGUUUUGUACUAUUCUUGUGAGACAGCCUUCUUUGGAGAAACAUAAUUCUGACAAAUGACUAUUACAUUGUAAAUGGUAAUAUAGUAUCUCUGUAUCCUAUCUUAAUUUCUCAACCCAACUUGGUCUCCUGGUAUGUUGCUUGACAUUGCUUGGUGAAACUGCUACCUGUUAGUUGAUUGCUGUUCAUUUAUAAGAAACCCCUUGAACACAAAAUGCAGCUUAAAAAAAAUGAUGCUUAAAGUAGGAAGUACUGUGGUUUCUGCUGGGAUGGAUCCUCUUGAAUUUUGCUUCCAUACUGCCUUUCCUCCAUCCCAUUUGGUGACCAUUUCUAGGCCAACAGGUGUCUUCCUACCUGUUCUUCCCAUUUUGAAACUUCUUAUGGACCUUCUCAAGGCACAGUUUCCACUUAGGUAAUAUAAUAAACUAGACUAAGACAGAUUAAUGGUUUUAUGUGAACAUUUAAAUUGGGGACUUAAGGAUACCACUCCCUCCCCCAAUUUUUUUUAUAUAACCGAGUGCUUUUUGACUCUGGCUGUACAAAUGAAUCAACUGGGGAGUUUUUAAAAAAAAAAAAAUGCAGAUGCAUUGUCUCCACUACAGAACUAUUGAAUAAAAAUUUAUGUAUUUUUAAAAAGCUUCAAAUACAAUUCUGAGCUAGACUCUAUGGGGAGAUAGUUUUGAGCAGGCAGGACCUUUCUGAGUUUUGAAAAUUGCACAGAACUCCACCCUGGGUGUGAACACUAUACUUAAGUAACUUUGAGAGUUACUUUGGGCUAUAAACUUACAUCCAGUGUCACUUUAAAACCAUAAAAGGAACGUAAAGUCUGUUUUUGCUGUGUGCACCAUCUUUAUUUAUGUUAGGAAGUUAUUUCUUAUUGUAUGAAUCUGGAGAAAUAUGCACUGAAAAUAAGCUCCAAAUACAUUUAAGAUACAUUUCCCUCUAUGACACUAUUGUUGGUUGAUUGGUAAAGAUUUUGGUUAUUACAGUCUUGGCUCUAAAUAUGUAGGUGCUAUUGUGUAGCUUGAAGGAUAUUUUGGGGGGUACAGCUUAAUAUCUUAUUUUAAAGUAUGCUCUGAGAAUGUUUUAUUGCCCCCACAUUAUUUUUGAUUUAAAUGCUUUAGUAGUAUAGAGUACUAUGUUGAUAUAAGGGAUUACUAAUAUCUUCUUAAGAGUAUAGAAUGUAUAUCCAGAAAUAUAUAAAUGUAACAAGGAGGAAAAUGAACGUGAGACAAUUUAAUGUAUCCAUGCUUGUCAUGUUCUAUAAAUUGUGAGGAGUUAUGUUAUGUUCUUAAAUAGUUUCCGGACCUCCAUUACAGUAAGACCUUUGAUAUUUAUAACUAUGUACUUUAGCCAUGUUCAUAAAAAAGUAAUUAUAUAAGUUUAAAAAUACUGGGUAUAUAUGAUGAGUACCCAUAACUUUCAAACUAUUCUUUCAAUUAAAAAUGAUUACUUCAAAAAAAAUGAUUAUUUCAAAAGACUGACUAUUCUCAUACACUAUUGGGAGAUAGUUGGGCAAAAAUUAUUACGUUUUUUUUUAAAAAUUUUAUUUAUUCAUUUAUUUAAUUUUUUAGCUGCAUUGGGUCUUCACUGCUGCACACAGGUUUUCUCUAGUUGUGGCGAGUGGGGGCUACUCUUUGUGGUGGCGCGUGGGCUUCUCAUUGCAGUGGCUUCUCUUGUUGCAGAGCAUGGGCUCUAGGCGCCUGGGCUUCAGUAGUUGUGGCUCGUGGGCUCUAGAGUGCAGGCUCAGUAGUUGUGGCACACAGGCUUUGUUGCUCCGUGGCAUGUGGGAUCUUCCCGGACCAGGGCUCAAACCCAUGUCCCCUGCACUCCUAACCAGUGCGCCACCAGGGAAGCCCUAUUACAUGUUUUUAACAUAUGCAUACCAGUUGGCCCAGUAACUCUAUUUUUGGAGUUUUGUUCCUAGGGAACACACAGAAAUAUACAAGUAAAAAUUUGAUCACAGAAAAAAAUUAUAAACACCAUAAAAAUCCAACAUUGAGGAUUGGUGAGAUCAUAAUUUCCCAAAGUAUUUUGAAAGCAGCAUAAGUUCUAAUGUGUAAUUCAAAUAAGGAUGUCAUAGGCAAAAUAAUUUUAGGAAACAAUGGUUAACCUACUCUGUUCCUUUUAGUGUAGGGCACUUGAAUAAAUCAUAUAGAAACUCAGUGGAGCUAAUUAAAUUAGCAUGUAUUCAUAAAGUAGAAGAUUAUACAUUCAUAAAAAUGUAUGUGUAUGACCAUAGAAAUAUGUUCUUGAUGUUACAUAAAAAAUAUGUGCAAUAUGAAGUCAUUUGUGUGAAAAAAUUUUUUUUUUCAAAAAAGUUUAGCAGAGUGUAUACUAAAAUGUUAAUAGUGGUCAUCUUGACGUUUGGGGAUUAUAAUUUUUCUCUUUUUGCUCAUAUGUACUUUCUAAAGCUUUUCAAUGAGCCUGUAUUACUUCUUAUAUCUUUAAAGUAUUUUUAAAGUAUUCUUAAAAAUCUCAAAUUGCUUCGAGUGUUUUAAUGCCAAGGUGAUGACUAUUACAUUUUUUUUUUUUUCUUGAUGGCUCCUACUUCAAAAAACAUUGAAAAGUUAGCAGUUGCAUAGCUGAGAUCUGAAUCACAUUCUUUUGGCUGGAUUAUGUUGCAAAAAGCAGUAGAUAAAUUUGGAUAUGAAUGGGCCUAUUAGUUCCAACCUUGCUUUCUGGAAGGCACUUUUUUGAUUCUUUUAAGGUAAAUAUUAACUCAGUGGUCAGUUCUCAUGGUACUCUAAAAUUUACAUGUUGAACAGGGAUCUUUAGUUCAGAUUAAGUCAAAGGAAUCAUCUACAUAUGAUGCAUAUAUUUUUUUAACAUCUUUAUUGGAGUAUAAUUGCUUUACAGUGUUGUACUAGUUUCUCUUGUACAACAGAUUGAAUCAGCUAUACGCAUACGUAUAUCCCCAUAUCCCCUCCCUCUUGUGUCUCCCUCCCACCCUCCUUAUCCCACCCCUCUAGGUGUUCGCAAAUCACCGAGCUGAUCUCCCUGUGCCAUGCAGCUGCUUCCCACUAGCUAUCUAUUUUACAUUUGGUAGUGUAUAUGUGUCCAUGCCACUCUCUCACUUCGUCCCAGCUUACCCUUCCCCCUCCCUGUGUCCUCAAGUCCAUUCUGUACAUCUGUGUCUUUAUUCCUGUCCUGCGCCUAGGUUCAUCAUUUUAUUUUUUUAGAUUCCAUAUAUGUGUGUUAGCAUACAGUAUUUGUUUUUCUCUUUCUGACUUACUUCACUCUGUAUGACAGACUCUAGGUCCAUCCCAUAAUUCAAAAAGAGUUAUGUACCACAAUGUUCAUUGCAGCACUAUUUACAAUAGCCAGGACAUGGAAGCAAGCUAAGUGUCCAUCGACAGAUGAAUGGAUAAAGAAGAUGUGGCACAUAUAUACAAUGGAAUAUUACUCAGCUAUAAUGCAUAUUUUUAAAGAUCCUCGUUGGAUGCGUUCUAUGCUGAAUUUUUGCUUUUUCAUUUUUUUAAGGGAAUGUUGUCCUACAGGAGAAUUUUGAUUCAAAUCUGUUCCUAUAUGUUUCUUCCUUUUGAGGGACUAGCUAUGGGGGAGGGCAUAGAGAUUAGGGUGGAAAAGAGAAGUGAUGUUGAGAUUAUACUGGUAAAUUUAUCUCUUGGUUUAUGACGAUUCCUCUUCCUCUCCAAAUCCUUGAGUUUGGACAGUCUAAAAGCCUGGCAUCAUAAAAAUAUUGGUGCAUUUUAUGUUAAGGUAUUAGGAUUGUUUAUAUUGACCAUAUUCAAUAUUAAUUUGCUUUAUGCAGUGUAUGAGGUUUAAUAAUUUUUUAAAGUCAUUUUCACCAUCUAAGCAGAAAUCUGAAAUAUCAAGAGUAGGUGAGGACAUAGUUUCAUGAAUAUAAAAGUCAUACAUUUCUUUAUGGUUGUAAUACAUUUGCCUUGGAUUUGAGUGACUUUUAGAAAAGAACUUGAAAGAAUAUGACCUUUAAUGAUUCAGGGCCUGGGCUUGGGUAAAAGUAGAUCUUUCCCUAACUUAAAACACGCAAGUCAAAUUCAUCCGUCGAGUGCCUCUUUGAUAGCCUGAAUUGGUGGGCUUCAGAAAGUUUAACAAUUUAUUAAGUAUUUUGAGAGUAGGCCAA
rnacentral:lncRNA from 1 species